rnacentral:rRNA from 1 species
CAAGUACCAUGAGGGAAAAGGAUGAAAAAGGACUUUUGAAAAAGAGAGUUAAAAAGUGCCUGAAACUCGCUGAAAGGAAAGCGGAUGGAACCAGUCGUGCUUGGCGAGAUUGUUGCGUGCAAGGUGACUGCUCACUUGUUGCAGCGUAAGCGCAGCAGCAGCGGGUUUCGAUCUGGUCGCGCGCGAUGCUUCUUGCCUUGUUCGUCAUCGUUGGUUUGGGGCGCGGACAACUCUUGGGACAUGGUAACUUGCCCACGGGUGAGCGAAUGUGCCUUGCAGAACUCACCUCCAAACUGAUGUCUCUUGUUAGGUUCUGUUGCCGUAUACGGCACGUUCUUGACAAAGCGUGGUGACAGAAUGGUUCUAUUCGACCCGUCUUGAAACACGGACCAAGGAGUCUAACAUAUGUGCAAGUACUUGGGUGGCGAAACCUAUGUGCGCAAUGAAAGUGAGUGCUGAGAUGCUUGCAUCAGCAGCCGACCAAUCAAUUGGGGAGAGGUUUGAGCAUGAGCAUAUCUGUUAGGACCCGAAAGAUGGUGAACUAUGCCUGAGAAAGGGUGAAGUCUGGGGGAAACUCAGAUGGAGGCUCGUAGCGAUACUGACGUGCAAAU